rnacentral:tRNA from 1 species
GCCUUAAGGUGUUAGUCAUGUCGAAUUGCAAAUUCGAAGGGGUAGAGCAAUAUAUCUACUAAGGCUU